UUCAUUACUUUUGAAAUUGUGAGGUCAUUACCUCUGUAACUUUCUCAGCUAUCAAAACUUUGGAGUCCAGUCCCUGGACCAAUUAUGUACCUCUGUAAUCUUUAGACUACCGCCCACAGGAUGGGUAUGGGGUGCAUAAUAUAUGUGAGGGAAAAGUAAGUGUAAGUGGGGUUAAGGUUGUUCGGGCAACCAGGAACCAUUAGAGAGUUACGUCGCGCGCACCCCCCCCCCCCUCUGGCGGGCUGGGGCAAAACUAGUUCCUGGUGUCCGAUUUGUUAAAGUUUCUACUCCUGGUAAUAUUGACCUUACCUGGUGUGGGUUGAAGUUUGGAGAGUCACUUCACCUCCACUCUUCUCCUAAUCAGCUCUGUUCCUGGCGUGGUCUUCCAGGAUAGACGCCAGAUAAAGGAGCAAGACGUGUGUUAAUAAUACUUAUUAACAUUAUUCUACUACUACCGGCCCUUACCUAUUCUACUUGUGCUCCAUCCAAAUGGUAGGAGAUUCCAGAACAUCGGAUUGUUACCAUCUGCCCAGGAUAACCUACAUAAAUAACAUCAGAGGAACUAUCCAGGGCCAUACCUACUCCUGCCCAACUCAAAGAACUGAAGGCCAUUUUUUUUUAUUAUAUUUAAAUUUUAAGUAAAAUUCUCAAAAAUCA